GGUUUUAUAUCAAGCCAAUCUCCGUCACUUAUUUCUGAUAUCAAA
rnacentral:sRNA from 1 species